rnacentral:rRNA from 1 species
AUGCAGUCCGCCGCCGCUCCGACGAGGGCAGGGAGCCGCCUCUGCACGCGCUGCGGCGAGCGGAAGGCCGCGCUCAAGCGGCCCAAAACCCUAGAACAGAUAUGUAGGGAAUGCUUCUAUAUUGUCUUCGAGGACGAGAUUCAUCAAACUAUUGUUGACAAUAAUUUGUUUAAAGCCGGUGAACGUGUGGCAAUUGGAGCUUCUGGUGGAAAAGAUUCAACCGUGCUUGCGUAUGUGUUAUCAGAGUUAAACAAACGUCAUAAAUAUGGUCUCGAUUUGUUCCUUUUAUCUAUUGACGAAGGAAUCACAGGCUAUAGAGACGACUCCCUAGAAACUGUUAAAAGGAAUGAACUACAGUAUGGCCUACCACUGAAAAUAGUUUCCUAUAAGGAUCUCUAUGACUGGACAAUGGAUGAUAUUGUGAAAGCAAUUGGCCUGAAAAACAAUUGUACUUUCUGUGGUGUUUUUCGACGUCAGGCGCUAGACCGUGGUGCUGCUCUCUUGAAGGUUGAUAAGAUUGUAACUGGGCAUAAUGCAGAUGACAUUGCAGAGACUGUCUUGCUGAAUAUUUUACGUGGUGAUAUUGCAAGGUUAAGUCGAUGCACUUUCAUAACUACUGGUGAAGAUGGACCAAUCCCAAGAUGCAAGCCUUUCAAAUACACCUACGAAAAAGAGAUUGUUAUGUAUGCGUAUUUCAAAAAGCUGGACUACUUCUCCACUGAAUGCAUCUAUUCACCAAAUGCAUAUCGUGGAUUUGCUCGUGAAUUUAUUAAAGAUCUGGAAAGGAUGAGGCCUAGGGCUAUACUGGACAUCAUAACCUCUGGCGAAAAUUUCCGGAUAUCCACAACAACAAGAAUGCCAGAGCAAGGAACAUGUGAACGCUGCGGUUACAUUUCUAGCCAGAAAUUAUGCAAAGCGUGUGUCCUGCUAGAUGGACUGAACCGAGGCUUGCCAAAACUAGGCAUAGGGAGAACCGCUAAAGUCGGUGCUGGAGCUGAUGGUAGUGGCGAGCAGCAAGGCAAACGAGCGGAGAGGAGGAAUAGGUCGAGUCUACAAGGAAAACAUGGCAACUUGGACUUCUGA